CCUACGGGAGGCAGCAGUGGGGAAUAUUGGGCAAUGGGCGCAAGCCUGACCCAGCAACGCCGCGUGAAGGAAGAAGGCCCUCGGGUUGUAAACUUCUUUUAUCAGGGACGAAACAAAUGACGGUACCUGAUGAAUAAGCCACGGCUAACUACGUGCCAGCAGCAGCGGUAAUACGUCGGUGGCAAGCGUUAUCCGGAUUUACUGGGUGUAAAGGGCGUGUAGGCGGGAGAGCAAGUCAGACGUGAAAUGCCAGGGCUCAACCCUGGAACUGGGUUUGAAACUGUUCUUCUUGAGUGAUGGAGAGGCAGGCGGAAGUCCGGGUGUAGCGGUGAAAUGCGUAGAUAUACGGAGGAACACCAGUGGCGAAGGCGGCCUGCUGGACAUUAACUGACGCUGAGGCGCGAAAGCGUGGGUAGCGAACAGGAUUAGAUACCCCUGUAGUC
rnacentral:rRNA from 1 species